CAGUCGCCGCGGUAAUACCGAGGGUGCGAGCGUUAAUCGGAUUUACUGGGCGUAAAGCGUGCGUAGGCGGCUUCUUAAGUCGGAUGUGAAAUCCCUGAGCUUAACUUAGGAAUUGCAUUCGAUACUGGGAAGCUAGAGUAUGGGAGAGGAUGGUAGAAUUCCAGGUGUAGCGGUGAAAUGCGUAGAGAUCUGGAGGAAUACCGAUGGCGAAGGCAGCCAUCUGGCCUAAUACUGACGCUGAGGUACGAAAGCAUGGGGAGCAAACAGGAUUAGAUACCCGAGUAGUCCCUGUCUCUUAUAC
rnacentral:rRNA from 1 species